AGAUUAAUGAAAUUUCUUCUUUCUCAACAUCUCUUAUAACUCUUAAUCUCUCUUCUUAAUCCUACCUCUUCUCAUCUCUUCUAUUCUCUUCUUCCUAUCUUCUUCUUUCUAUCCUUUUCAUCUACUUAUCAAAUACCCCAAUUCUGAUCCGAUCGAUCCGAGGCAAGCUGUUACGUGUAUCAUCAUCCUCGACGCCGUCCUUCAUCUCAGCGAU
rnacentral:lncRNA from 1 species